UACGUAGGAUGCAAGCGUUUUCCGGAUUUAUUGGGUUUAAAGGGUGCGUAGGCGGCCUAUUAAGUUAGUGGUGAAAACGUUCGGCUUAACCGGAUGCCCGCCAUUGAUACUGAUAGACUUGAGUGCGACAGAGGGUGUUGGAAUGUGUGGUGUAGCGGUGAAAUGCUUAGAUAUCACGCAGAACACCAAUUGCGAAGGCAGAUGCCUAUGUCGUAACUGACGCUGAGGCACGAAAGCGUGGGGAUCAAACAGG
rnacentral:rRNA from 1 species